GUCUGGUGCCAGCAGCCGCGGUAAGUCCAGCUCCAAUAGCGUAUAUUAAUUCUGCUGCAGUUGAAAAGCUCGUAGUUGGAUCUUGAAGUGUCAUUGUGAGGGGUUUCGGUCCGCCAGAAAUUGGUGGGUACCGUCCCUCCGGCUUCAUAUGUGAUAGUGGCGCACCAUGUGCCCGGAAGGGAUUGUCAUGGUUGAAGUGUGUUCAAAGGCUCCGGUAUAGGAGUUGGCGGCCCUUCUUGGCAGGGUCUCUCACGAGGCCUUGUCAGUGCUCUAUCUUGUUUACUUUGAAAAAAUUAGAGUG
rnacentral:rRNA from 1 species